rnacentral:rRNA from 1 species
CGGAGGAUCCAAGCGUUAUCCGGAAUUACUGGGCGUAAAGAGUUGCGUAGGUGGCAAAGUGUGUCUGUAGUGAAAGCGUGGGGCUCAACCCCAUAUACAUUAUAGAAACUGCUUGGCUAGAGGACGAGAGAGGUUAUUGGAAUUCCCAGUGUAGGAGUGAAAUCCGUAGAUAUUGGGAGGAACACCGAUGGCGUAGGCAGAUAACUGGCUCGUUCCUGACACUAAGGCACGAAAGCGUGGGGAGCAAACGGGAUUAGAUACCCCGGUAGUCCACGCCGUAAACUAUGGAUGCUAGCUGUUAUAGGUAUCGACCCCUGUAGUAGCGAAGCUAACGCGUUAAGCAUCCCGCCUGUGGAGUACGGUCGCAAGACUA